rnacentral:rRNA from 1 species
UGGCUCCUUGUGGGAAAAAGAUGGGGAGUCGGACCUGCCCGGUGAAGUUUUUUAACGGCCGCGGUACUCUGACCGUGCAAAGGUAGCAUAAUCAUUUGCCUUAUAAUUGAAGGCUGGCAUGAAUGGUUUGACAAGAAUACAUCUGUCUCUUUGUGAUUUGAUAGAAUUUUAUUUUUAGGUGAAAAAGCCUUAAUUUGAUUAAUAGACAAGAAGACCCUAUCGAGCUUUAAAGAAUUUAGUGGGUUAGAAAACUUAAUUGGUGGAAAAAGGAAUCUAUUAGAUAUUUUGGUUGGGGCGACUGAGGAACAUGAAAAGCUUCCUUUAAGUGUAUUAUUGACACACACAGGUAUUGAUCCAAAAAUGUUGAUUAAAGGAAUUAGUUACCGUAGGGAUAACAGCAUUAUCUUUUUUGAGAGUUCUUAUUGAAAAAAGGGUUUGUGACCUCGAUGUUGGACCAGAAUGUCCUAAAGAUGCAGAAGUCUUUGAGGGUUGGUCUGUUCGACCAUUAAAAUUCUA